rnacentral:lncRNA from 1 species
AGAACCGCAUCCAUCCGUUCCUAAAAGAUGGAUUCCCGUUCUCAAUGAAGGAUAAAUUCUACUUGUUAGUGCCACUAGAUAGUUUUUUUUUAUCCCAACACCCAAUGGGAUUCGAGGCUUCUGCCUCCGAAUUAUUCCCCGACUGACUCUUCCCACCCCAUUCCCCCAUCUAAUUCGUCCAAUCAAGCUUCUAAUCUCCACCCCAACAGAUUCCUGUGAAAGCAUUAUCUAUCUGCGAUUAAUACAAACAAUGAUGGUAACUGGAAAAUAAUGUGUUAUUUUUUAACCCACUGUUUGAUUGAACAAAAGAAUAUUAUUUUCCAAGUUGCAAACUUUUAGAUGAAAAAACUAAUAUUGAAAUUUAAUUUUUGAAUGACAUCAUUUUAUUUAAGAAAGCAACGUAAAUGAGCAUUGCUACGGUUGUUAACAUCUUACCGUCACCCAGAACGGACUGCAUCGCGUGCCACAAGCAAACUUUGGCUGCGCACCACCCCACUCAUGAUGGGAACAUGCCAUACCUCCGCCAUCUGGGCGCCCCUAGCA